rnacentral:rRNA from 1 species
CAGCCGCCGCGGUAAUUCGGGGGAUGCAAGUGUUAUCCGGAAUUACUGGGCGUAAAGCGUCUGUAGGUUGUUUAAUAAGUCAACUGUUAAAUCUUGAGGCUUAACCUCAAAACAGCAGUCGAAACUAUUAGACUAGAGUAUAGUAGGGGUAAAGGGAAUUUCCAGUGGAGCGGUGAAAUGCGUAGAUAUUGGAAAGAACACCGAUGGCGAAAGCACUUUACUGGGCUAUUACUAACACUCAGAGACGAAAGCUAGGGUAGCAAAUGGGAUUAGAUACCCCAGUAGUCCUAGCUAUAAACAAUGGAUACUAGAUGUUGAACAGAUCGACCUGUGCAGUAUUAAAGCUAACGCGUUAAGUAUCCCGCCUGGGAAGUAUGCUCGCAAGGGUGAAACUCAAAGGAAUUGACGG